rnacentral:piRNA from 1 species
CAGAAAAUCCGAACCCCAGUCAAG